AGCAGCCGCGGUAAUUCCAGCUCCAAUAGCGUAUAUUAAAGUUGUUGCAGUUAAAAAGCUCGUAGUUGAAUUUCGGGAUCAAUGUUUCGGUCAUGCCGUUGGUAUGUACUGAUAUUAUUGAUUUCUCACCUUCUAAAGAACCGUAAUGCCAUUAAUUUGGUGUCACGGGGAAUUAGGACUGUUACCUUGAAAAAAUUAGAGUGUUUAAAGCAGGCUCACGCUUGAAUACAUUAGCAUGGAAUAAUGAAAUAGGACAUCCGAUUCUAUUUUGUUGGUUUCUAGGAUCGAUGUAAUGAUUAAUAGGGAUAGUUGGGGGCAUUAGUAUUCAAUUGUCAGAGGUGAAAUUCUUGGAUUUAUUGAAGACUAACUACUGCGAAAGCACUUGCCAAGGAUGUUUUCAUUAAUCAAGAACGAAAGUUAGGGGAUCGAAGACGAUCAGAUACCGUCGUAGUCUUAACCAUAAACUAUGCCGACUAGGGAUCGGAUGAUGUUAAUUUUUUAAUGACUC
rnacentral:rRNA from 1 species